UGCGCGCCAUGAACAGAUAUUCGUAAUUGCUUGGGCCCAAAGUGCAAUCCGCUGAUAAGGACAUUUGGGUCUGUAGAUGCGUUGGUGAGACAGACAAGUUGCGCCUCGGUGGUUUUUUUGGUGGUGUUGGCUGAAAUAAUUAACUCUCCAAAGAUAUUCUAUGAAUAUUGUUAAUACUUUUUAAAACGAUAACGAUUGAAUAAUUGUUAAAAUUAUAGGGAUAUUUAUUUUAAUUGGCCUCAAUUUAAAUGUCAUCUUAAUUGACUGCGAGUAAAAAAAACAUCGAUACUUUGACAAUAAUGUGAUAUCUCGUUAAUACUAAAUGUGAAAACAAAUAACAAGAGGUCAAUUAAGAAUUGAGGUUAAUAAAGAUGAGAAUGAAGCCUUCAUCCUUACGAAAAAAAAAAAAAAAAAAAAAAAAAAGAAGGAGAAGCAAUUGGAUGAAAACGAGGUCCAACUAAUAAUACCGAUCAAUCGUCGGAUAUCUUUUGAAGGUAAUAUUCGAUCGGCAUUUUCACGAAGCAGUCUCGUUCGAAGGAAAAAUGUAGCCAGCGUCAAGCUGUCGGGCUAAUUAACUUGCGAUUAAUUUGUCCACGUUAACGAACUGUAAGGCGCAGAGAUGAUUCAUUGCCGGGUUACACGGUACGGUUCUUCGAUGCGAAAAAAGAAGUCAAUUUCGAACAAAAAUAAGACGUCUCAUACGUAUUCUAUGCAUCAGAUAUUACCAAACAUAAUCAAUUAUAACACAGAGAUAGAUUUCGCUUCGAACGAGAAUAUUUCUCCUGAUCUCGUGCAAUCUUUCAUCGAAGGAAGAGGCGAAAAGGGGACAUAUAUAUAUAUAUAUAUAA